rnacentral:tRNA from 1 species
GGGCCAUUAGCUCAGUUGGUAGAGCACCUGACUUUUAAUCAGGGUGUCCCGCGUUCGAGUCGCGGAUAGAUCACCA